rnacentral:lncRNA from 1 species
GGUUGGGUAUCUAAAAUAAUAAAUUCACUAGAUAGCAAACUGUAUCAACUUGAAUGAGCACAGCCUCUAUAAUACCGCUAAGGACUUUAACAAAUCAAUCGGCUAACUCGAGUGUAACAUGUGUUGGCUAAGGUUCUCCAGAUUAGUUCUUUUAAAUAGAAUAUGAAAGAAGAUUCACGCUAGAACCUAGGUCAAGAAGUGCUCAAUUAAUUCUAUAACUUCCUAUUAUACACGAAAUUGUAGAACAACCGGAGUCCUUAAAUUUUGGCACAGAUUUACAUUGUAGGAUUGCAGUUUGACUCUUAUUCAUCAUCGACGUUUCUUUAACAUGCAACUUUCUUUUAAUAGUACACAAGUCCUUGGCAUAGGAAGAUAUCUACUUAAUGACAUCUUAUAUAGAGAUGUUUAAUUCGAACUUGUUUAAAGGCAUCGUAAAUUUCAGCAUUUAAGUUUGCUUUACUCGAUUUAGUCAACUAUGUGGGAAUGGAGCGUGUUUUAAUCCUCCAUGAUCACCUCAUUAAGAUGCAUCUUUAGAUAGCUAGUGUGACUUUCAUGUUUUUCUUUUAACAUUGUUCUUUCAUUCUCACUCUUUUAGUCUCAUUUCAUGUCCUAAUCCUCUAGGCUUAUAUUCCCUUGAUUACCUCUUUGAAACAAUAGUUUUAUAAAUUUCUUUUCACUCUUAAGAGUGUGUGAUGGCUUGUACCUAGUCAUGUGGUUUUCACCCAUGACAAUUUGCAGGCUUAAGAAUUUUAUUAGGGUUGAGUAGAGAAUCGCCUUGUGUUGCUGCCAUUAUAAAAUUUUCAAGUACAGAGUCAUCUUCCCUAUAUGUUGUUCAAGUCUCCCAUGUGUUGUUCAUAUUUAUGACUUUUUGGGUACAGCUCAUGAUCCUUAUUCCUCUAUGCAGAGGUUGGUAGUUAGCCUAUUGUGGUGCCAUUUGUGUAAGGAUAAGCAUGGGGCACCAUCUGUGCAAUUGGUUGUGUAGGGUAUGUUGUUUGUGCAAGAUAUGGUGCGUCGUAGUAGAGGUUUGAGGAUUCUGCUAAAAUUAUGUGUAUUUUAUGUUCCUCUUAUCGCCAUCCAAAAUUAGGGGGAUUCCUAACUGGGUUAUAUGUAUUCGAGUAGAGGUAGUCCAACUCUUUGGAAAUUAGUCACCACAUUCACUUGCCCACGUGUUUUUUUAUGCCCGCCUAUAAGUUGGACACAAUCAGUGCAAUGGUCCCAAUUAUGUAACACAGUGCACACAUGUUGAGGUAUUUUGUGGUAAACUUGUGGCCGAAUCUUAGCAUGCCAAAUUCUCUACUUACUUUGAAAGUGCUGUGAGCUUAGGUUUAAAAGUCAUCCUCUAUUGUCAAUUGAUAUUUAAUGCCCAAAAUAUUGUGUGGAGUUUAAAAACAGUGAAAGAUUUCAUCAUAUUAUUGGUUCUGGUGUACAACUCCAAUCACUAGUCAAGAUGGCUAAAAUAGAUCAAAAUAUUCAUAGGCCUAUUUGGUUGUUUAUCUGGAUAUGUUCCGUGCACACAUGUUGACUCAAUAAACAUCGUCAUUGUGGGGACCAAUGAAGAAUAGACAAAUUAUUAAUGUGCCAUGGUAGGAAAUUGUGACGUUACAUGCGAGAAAUUAGUAGGUAUUCUAUAAAUCUCCAAAGCUUGAAAAAAAAACUCAUGUCGUCACUAUUUAGUGCAAAUAAGAUAGACACGUUGAUAGAGCCUUUGUACGUUCUCGAAGAAGAACCUUUUUAAGAACACCCUUUUCAAUGUAUUUCCAUGAGUGAAUGGACCUCGGCAUUAGUGAAUAAACCAAAGCUUGGCUUGUCCUUUAACGUUGAAAGGAAAGAGUUUAAAAAGUAAAACAUUCUCGAGGGGACAUGAGUUGUCUUGAAAUAUGGAGACAUGCAGGUCAAAUCAUUGUUAGAUGUGAGUAAUGUCUUUCGACCCACAAUCAUGAAACGUGGACAAGGCUUGUAGCAUUCCCGAUUUGAGAUUCAUAGUGGUGUGAUAUGCGAGAAGUACUAUUGUGAAGAGGGUAUUUGUUGUGUAGGGUUCAUGUAAUCUCUAUUGGCCCAUUUGGGCCUCAACUUCUCCAAGCAUUAUUAGCCCUUGUCAGGGUCUUCUACUCUCAUUAUCUUACCACAUGUUACCUUUAAUGGGACACACUCAGAUAGUCCCAGAGGAAUCUUGUUUGGGUUGAUCGAAUGGGUAUACGAAUUCACGAUGUCACCAAAGAAAUUAGGGUAAGUCUACCAGACUAGACCGAGUGGUUGAUGGUGUAUACAGAAUAUCCUAAGGGAAGAUCAGGAAGCACGGUCGGACUCAAAACUUAAAAUAUGAUGACAUACAAUGCAAUUCCACACAAAAAAGACAUAAUAGUCAACGAUCCUCCAAUCUCCAUAAAUGUAUUCAACUCCAGUACCAACAAAUUGAAAUUUUUUAUCCCAUCCGAUUCUCCAAUCUCCAUAUACAAUAGCAAUACGACCGAUAAAUAAUUAGCACAAAACUUAACAGUUU